rfam:Fukomys damarensis contig160978, whole genome shotgun sequence.
UUUUGGCCUUAGAAAGCCCAAGAGUUACAGCAGGCUGAAAAUCAAUUGUUUUAGACAUGCAAAUUACGGUGUCUCUAAGAAGCAAAAUAAAAAUGGUAUAUAGUCAGUGGUUAAAGCCAAAUAAUAGAAUCAAUUUUCUUGCAUUUGAAUCCAGGAUCUGAUUGCAUGAUCUUGAGAAGUUUAUUUAAAUUUGUCAAACCUG